UACGGGGGGGGCAAGCGUUGUUCGGAAUUACUGGGCGUAAAGGGCGCGUAGGCGGCCUUCUAAGUCGAACGUGAAAUCCCUGGGCUCAACCCAGGAACUGCGUCCGAUACUGGAAGGCUUGAAUCCGGGAGAGGGAUGCGGAAUUCCAGGUGUAGCGGUGAAAUGCGUAGAUAUCUGGAAGAACACCGGUGGCGAAGGCGGCAUCCUGGACCGGUAUUGACGCUGAGGCGCGAAAGCCAGGGGAGCAAACGGG
rnacentral:rRNA from 1 species